rnacentral:rRNA from 1 species
AACGAACGUUGGCGGCGUGGAUUAGGCAUGCAAGUCGAACGAAUCCUACUGCUGUAGCAAUACAGUGGUGGGGGAAGUGGCGAAAGGGGCAGUAAUGCAUGGGUAACCUACCCCGGGGACGUGGAUAGCCUUCCUAACGGAAGGGUAAUACACGGCGAUCUGUGCGGGAGACAUCUCCUGUCCAGGAAAUGAAUUUUCGCCUCGGGGAGGGGCUCAUGUCGUAUUAGCUUGUUGGUGAGGUAACGGCUCACCAAGGCAAAGAUGCGUAGCGGGUGUGAGAGCACGACCCGCGCCACUGGCACUGAGACACUGGCCAGACUCUUACGGGAGGCUGCAGUCGAGGAUCUUUGGCAAUGGGCGAAAGCCUGACCAAGCGACGCCGCGUGUGCGAUG